AGCAGGGUUGGCUUUUCCCAGAGUCUGCAAGAUUUUCAGUGUGUCCCCGAGAGGGGUUGGAGUUUUUUUCUUCCCUUUUUAAGCUCCAUCUCAGUCUUUGGAGAGGCUUCAGAGGAAGAAGCAAUCUGAAAUACGUUACGCGUGCAUGGCUUGAUGAAUUUCAGAUGCUCGCCUUUCAUUUUGUCUCUCACUGACAAGAUGAAUGGCUCUCCAGGCUGCGUGCUGACUCCAGGAGCUGAGGAGGAGUCUCUUCUCAAAGAGGAGGAAAAUGCUGUACGCCCAGAUCCUUGUUGUGGCAGUGGCCAUGGCACAGUACAGAGCUGUGGCCGUACAUGAAGUGUGCGGGACAGCAGAGGUAGCAGAUAUUGUGUUCCUUGUGGGGCAGUCCCAGAGCACCGAGACAGAGAGCAC
rnacentral:lncRNA from 1 species